AGUCUCAGAUUCUCUUUGUGGAUCAUCGGCAUCACCAGAAGCAAACCAAUAACGGAAGGGUUUGUCAAGAUUGAAGAACUGAAGUUCAGUUCAUUGGAGCUUGAAGAAGAACUGGUCAGAGACUCAGAGUUGGUUUAAGAAGAACUAAGAAGGGUUUGUCAAGAUUGAAGAACUGAAGUUCAGUUCAUUGGAGCUUGAAGAAGAACUGGUCAGAGACUCAGAGUUGGUUUAAGAAGAACUAAGAAGGGUUUGUCAAGAUUGAAGAACUGAAGUUCAGUUCAUUAGAGUUUGAAGAAGAACUAAUCAGAGUUGGUUUAGGAAAA